CCCGGGUCUUGUACACACCGCCCGUCAAGCCACCUGAAUCGGAGGUACCCGAAAUCGUCUCUCUAACCCGCAAGGGAGGAAGGCGCUGAAGGUAAAACUGGUGAGGAGGGCU
rnacentral:rRNA from 1 species